AUACUUACCUGGCAGGGGAGAUGCCAUGAUCAAGAAGAUGCUUCACCAAGGGUGAGUCUAAGCCAUUGCACUCAGAUUGUGCUAACCCCUGCGAAUUCCCCAAAUGUGGGAAUCUCGACUGCAUAGUUCCUGGGAGUGGGGUUCCUGGUUUGCGCUCUCCCCUG